UCGAACGGGAUAUUUUUGUAGCAAUACCGAAAUAUUCAGUGGCGAACGGGUGCGUAACACGUGGGUAACAUGCCGGGAAGAGGAGAAUAGCCCAGGGAAACUUGGAUUAAUGCUCCAUGUGGUCGCAAGACUAAAGGCGGGGUAACCUGUCGCUUCCUGAUUGGCCCGCGGCCUAUCAGCUAGUUGGUGAGGUAACGGCUCACCAAGGCGACGACGGGUAGCUGGUCUGAGAGGAUGACCAGCCACACUGGAACUGAGACACGGUCCAGACACCUACGGGUGGCAGCAGUCGAGAAUCUUUCACAAUGGGGGCAACCCUGAUGGAGCGACGCCGCGUGGAGGAUAAGGUCUUCGGAUUGUAAACUCCUGUCAUGCGAGAGUAAGGCCCCGCGUUAACUGCGUGUGGGAUUGACAGUACCGCAAGAGGAAGAGACGGCUAACUCUGUGCCAGCAGCCGCGGUAAUACAGAGGUCUCAAGCGUUG
rnacentral:rRNA from 1 species